GCUCCCUCCGUGAACGUGAACACCUAGCUAUGUAUGGACUGCACACACACACACACACACACACACACACGUCCAUAGAGGCAACGGCGUGUGUGCUGUUGCCUGUUGUGUUGCGAACGUACGAGUUGUUGAACACAGAUCACCUGCUAGCCACUUUCGCGCCGGCCAUGAAGAGGAGCCACAGGGCCACACUUUCCACUGCCAUCCUCCAGCUGCCGCCGCCCGCCACCCGCUGCGUCCCAUGGGACGGUGACCCACGCUCUCCCCCUCCCCUGCCCAGCACCUGCCUUGCUCUCGUCUUCCCCUGAUCUGAGUUAGGAGGGAGCACUGGAGACGCAGGAGAGAAAGCUGGAGGGAUCAACUCACCAGAACAAACCAGAUAACAAACCAGGUGGAGAGAAAUAACGAAACACAGGGAGAUGGGCUGGCAAAAGUGUCUGCAUAGUUCUAAAGAGUCUGUUACUGUAAUAUGGACCAUUCUCUUUUAAUUUCUGUAUUUGUAUAUUUUUCUGUGGUCAAUAAACUAUCUGAAUCAGAAA